rnacentral:rRNA from 1 species
UACGUAGGAGACGAGCGUUGUCCGGAGUUACUGGGCGUAAAGGGCGCGUAGGCGGCUCUGCACGUCCGUUGUGAAAUCGCCCGGCUCAACUGGGCGGGGUCAGCGGAUACGGCAGAGCUUGAGCAAGCUAGGGGGCAAUGGAAUUCCCGGUGUAGUGGUGGAAUGCGUAGAUAUCGGGAGGAACACCAGUGGCGAAGGCGGUUGCCUGGGGCUUUGCUGACGCUGAUGCGCGAAAGCGUGGGGAGCGAUCCGG